rnacentral:lncRNA from 1 species
AUACUAUUUCUAUUCUAAUAUAUAUAUAUUAUUCACUGCUAUUCUUAUUCAUUUAACACAAACCAUAUUAUAAUUGUUGGUUAAAAAAAUUAAUUUAGUUCCAACAUAAAAAAAUGAAAAAAUGUGAAAGAGAAAAAACAAAGAAAAACAAAAACUAAAAACUGAAAAAUGGUUAUGGCCGUCUUUUAUAACUAUAAAUUCCCUCCUCCUCCUCCCCCUUUUUCUUAUGUU